rnacentral:lncRNA from 1 species
GAAAUGACUUUGUAAGCAUUGAUUUAUCCCAAAACAGAUUUGAAGGAGAGAUUCCAAGUGUCAUUGGGGAACUUCAUUCACUCAGAGGGCUAAACCUUUCCCAUAACAGACUUAUUGGUCCUAUUCCCCAAUCCGUGGGAAAUUUGAGAAACUUAGAAUCGUUGGAUCUCUCCUCAAAUAUGCUUACUGGUGGGAUACCUACAGAAUUAAUCAAUUUGAACUUUCUUGAAGUCCUAAAUCUUUCCAAUAACAAUCUUGUGGGAGAAAUACCUCAAGGAAAACAGUUCGGUACUUUUUCCAAUGAUUCCUAUGAGGGAAACUCAGGGUUAUGUGGACUCCCACUGACAAUCAAAUGCAGCAAGGACCCUGAACAACAUUCUCCACCUUCAACUACCUUCAGGAGAGAAGGAGGAUUUGGAUUUGGUUGGAAACCAGUGGCUAUAGGAUAUGGAUGUGGAAUGGUCUUUGGAGUUGGAAUGGGAUGUUGUGUACUGUUAAUGGGAAAGCCUCAAUGGCUUGUGAGAAUGGUUGGAGGUCAACUAAAUAAAAAGGUGAAAAGGAAGACAAGGAUGAAAUCUAAUGAAAAUGGUAGCAUAAUGAAUUAGAUGAUAUGUGGCAUGACUGUAGAAUGUCUUCUUGCACACCUUCCUGUUGAAAUUCAAUUCUGCCUUGUUGAAAAUAAAACAUAAGGGCCAAAACCUUAUCACACUGCAUUGCAUAUGCAUGGGAGAUCUGUUUCAAAGUUUAGUUGUAAUUGUAAUAUGAUGUGUUGUACUUUUUUUUUUCUCUGUUGGAUAGAUGAGUGUGAUGUACUUUUUUCCCCUUCCUUUGCUACUGAAACUCGGGUCUAAAUCAUCAUAAGUUUGAUGUUCUUCAUUUUCCUUGAGCGGGCUAUUUUGUUUUAUUUAAUACAUAUAAUUGUAGUAUUGGUUAUAUAAUAAUAGUUGUUGUUGUAUACUCUUAAAAAUGUUCUGCAUUCGUCGUUGCUAGAAACAAAAUAUUUUGUGUUAACAGUAUGUAGUUAUAUUUCAUUCGAGGAGCUUAGUUCACGUACAGUAGUUUUCCUAUUUCGUUUCUAACUCCCUCAUGCACAUAUUGUCUUACAUGGCAAUUCUAUGACUGGAUGACCAUAUAAAAAAACUUGACACAGAUAUGGAAAGAUUUUCAAGAGCUGUCCUGAGGAGGUUCAUUGUCUUGAUGACUAGGAUGGGAUUGAGUUUGAAUCUGUUUUAUACUAGCCAGCAAUUUCUAGGCCACACCAACCUGCUGCAAAGUACUUGGGAGGCACACAAAAGACUAAGAAUGCUGUUUUCUGAACCUUUAUCAAUUGAUGGCCUGAAAAAAUAUUUUUCAUUUCAUAAAUACUCAGGCAAUGGAAACAUUAGAUAAAUGCCUAGGAAGGAAAGUGUUAGAAUUAAUGUCUCAUGUGAGAGGUAUAUGACUUAGUAGGGACUAAUAAAUAAAUAAUUAACGAUUAAAGGCUAAAUUGUAAUUGGGCUUAAUAGGAGAAGUUUCUAGGUUAACUGCUACUUGAUGGGAGUAGUGGUUAUAAAAGGGGCUUAAUACCCACUAACGUGAAAUAAGGUCCCCUUCCUGACCAAAAAGUGCUCUUUUCUCACCCAUAGCCAUCACGAACGGAGAGAGACAGAAAAGAAAGGUCAAAGGAAGUGAAAUCCUAUUUCUCUCAUCUUCAAAGAAAUCAAAGUGCACCAGAGAGAAGUUCCUAUGGAGAAAGGUACACAUCAUUAUCUAUUAUUCUUUAUUGAUUGUUUGUGAGAAUCAUAGGUUUCAAGAUCCUGUUGGUUUUCUAUAAUUGAUAGUCUAGGAAACCCCUUAAGAAUUUUUACAUGUGGUAUCAGAGCAUGUGUUAUGAAAUUUAUGAUUCUCCAAGAAUGAUUUAAUUUCUCCCAAUUAUGUAUGAACCCUAAUUAUGAAAUUUAGGGAUAAUUUAAUUUCUCUCAAUUAUGUAUGAACCCUAAUUAUGAAAUUUAGGGAUAAUUUAAUUUCUCCCAAUUAUGCAUAAAUCCUAAUUAUGAAAUUUAGGAAUUUUAUUUUCCGCUGCAUUUAUUGUUUUAUUGGUAAUAUUUUAUUAUUGUUGAAUACCAAUUUUUGGAGAAAGUAUAAAUAUUAUGUAAAUUUGGAGAAAACGAUUGUGGCUGCCACUAUCUAUUUAUAAUGGAAAAAGAAAGCGUGAGUUGCAAUUCCAAUUCAUGGAAAAGCUAUGGCUGCUACACGUAGGUUAGUAAGUGAAGGAAUUUUGAAAAGCUGCGCACUGCGCAGGUAUGUUUGUUCCUAUAAGAAAUUUUGGAAAUUGCUAUUUCCAACCUUAUGUUUGCUAUUUCCAAUCCCAUUUAAUUUUUUUUUUCUCCGAAAAAUUAUUGUUGAACGUGAUUAAAGGAUUGAAAAUUUAUGUUCUGUAAUUAAAUUAAUGUGAAUGUUUUGCAAUUAUUGAUAGUAGUAAAUAUAUGUAUAUGCUACAUAUUUGCUUGAACGUGUUGGAAUGUAAAAACACAAAUAAAUGCAAAUCUUAUUUUAUGGUCUGGAAUGAAAUUAAUAGAAUGACUAUGAAUUGUUAAUAGCAAUAAGUAUGUGCAGGCCAUACAUAUUUGGUUGGAAUUAAAUGUAUGUUGAAUUUGUUAGUCACCAAAGUGACCAAAUUUGUAAGAUUAUUUAAUUCCAAAUCAAUGAUUAUUUCAAUUAUACUUGGUUGGAAUUAAAUGUAUGUUGAAUUUGUUAGUCACCAAAGUGGCCAAAUUUGUAAGGUUAUUUAAUUCCAAAAUUAAUGAUUAUUUUGAUUACUCAUAGAAUAAUGGAUGCUAAAUUAUAUGGUUAUUGGUUUAUGGGUAAUUGAAAUUCAUUGUUAUAAGGCAUUUAUGGAUCGCUCAAAGGUUGAUUAGUUGUUCUUAUAAUUAAUGAAUAUAAUUGUAGACGAUUUGUGUGUAUCAUUAGUUUUAUUUAUAUGCCCAAAGGAAAUAGAUACUACUAAUUGGUGCAUAUUUAAUUGCCAAAUAAUGUUAAAAUUUUAUUAGUAUCAUUAUGUUUGUAUGUUGUGUGUUGAUGUAUCACCCAAAGGAGAACAUCAAUAUACAUUGACUGUUAUCUGAAUGAAUCAUAUGUGAUUGAGAGAUGGAAAUACCAUUGUUUCCACGUUUGAUCUUUAUUCCUAAGAUCACAUCCGCCUCCCCCAUAUCUUUCAUAUCAAACUUAGAAGACAAAAAUGCCUUAGUUUCAUCAACUUGAUCUUGGUCGGUACCAAAGAUCAACAUGUCGUCUACAUACAGACAAAUGAUAACUCCUUUGCCAUGAGUAUCAAACUUGCUGUAUAGACAUUUAUCUGCUUGGUUUAUAACAAAACCACUAGACAACACAACCUCAUCAAAUUUUUGAUGCCAUUGCUUAGGCGCUUGUUUCAAGCCAUAAAGAGAUUUCAUCAGUUUACACACCUUAUUUUCAUUUCCUGGCAUAACAAACCCUUCAGGUUGUUUCAUGUAUAUCUCUUCAUCCAAUUCACCAUUUAAGAAUGCAGUUUUCACAUCCAUUUGGUGAAUCAUCAGAUUGUGGAUAGCAGCAAGUGCUAACAACAGUCUAAUAGUGGAUAUCCUAGCUACAGGAGCAUAUGUAUCGAAAAAAUCAAUACCCUUCUUUUGCCUAAAGCCUUGGAUAACCAAUCUGGCUUUGUACUUGUCAACAGUACCAUCCACUUUCAUCUUUCUCCUAAAGAUCAUCUUACAUCCUAAUGGCUUACAUCCAGGAGGUAAGUCAACCAAUUUCCAUGUAUUAUUUUGCAUGAUGGAAUCCAUCUCACUUUGGAUUACUUCUUUCCAGAAUACAGCAUCCCUUGAAGCCAUUGCUUCACUAAAAGUCUUUGGGUCUUCCUCAACAUUAAGGCAAUAUUGAUAUUGAAAUUCAAUAUCAUUCCUUGACCCUUCAACCAAAUAGAGUUGAAAGUCAUCACCAAAUGACUUAGCUUUUCUUACUCUCGUACUCUUUCUAGUUUCAGUACUAGUUAAAGGUAUAUCCUCAAUAUUAACUGAGACUUUCGACAUGGAAUUCAUGUCCUUUGGCCUAGGUAUAGAUGUAAACCUUUGUUCAUGGGAAAAUGGGACAGAUUGUUGCUCUUGGGCUGGAGUCACCUGCCACCCCAUCUCAGGUCACGUCACUCAGCUCAACCUCAGCUGCAAUGGCCUUUACGGCAAUAUCCAUCCAAACAGUACGCUUUUUCAUCUUUCUCAUCUUCACUCACUCAACCUUGCUUUCAAUGAUUUUGAUGAAUCUCAUUUGUCAUCUCUCUUUGGUGGGUUUGUGAGCCUCACUCAUCUCAACUUGUCUAAUUCGUACUUUGAAGGGGAUAUUCCUUCCCAAAUCUCUCACCUUUCCAAAUUAGUCUCACUUGAUCUCUCAGAUAACAACCUCAACGGUUCAAUCCCAUCCUCACUCUUAACCCUCACACAUCUUACUUUCUUGGAUCUCUCAUAUAACCAACUCAGUGGUCAAAUCCCAGAUGUCUUUCCUCAGUCAAACAGCUUUCACGAAUUGCAUUUGAAUGAUAACAAAAUAGAGGGUGAGCUGCCAUCAACACUUUCAAAUCUUCAACAUCUCAUUCUCUUGGAUCUUUCAGAUAAUAAAUUGGAGGGCCCUCUGCCUAACAAUAUAACAGGGUUUUCAAACCUAACAUCGUUAAGGUUAAAUGGAAACUUACUGAAUGGGACAAUUCCUUCUUGGUGUUUAUCUUUGCCAUCUUUGAAGCAGUUAGAUCUAUCAGGAAACCAACUCUCUGGGCAUAUUAGUGCAAUCUCAUCAUAUUCCUUGGAGACAUUGUCUUUAUCCCACAACAAGUUACAAGGCAAUAUUCCAGAAUCAAUUUUUAGCCUUCUAAACCUUUAUUACUUAGGUCUAUCAUCAAACAAUCUAAGUGGAUCUGUCAAAUUUCAUCGUUUCUCCAAGCUUCAAUAUUUGGAAGAACUUCACCUUUCAUGGAAUGAUCAGUUAUCACUAAAUUUCGAAUCCAAUGUCAAUUAUAAUUUCUCUAAUUUAAGGUUGUUGAACUUAUCUUCUAUGGUUUUAACUGAAUUUCCAAAAUUAUCGGGAAAAGUCCCAAUUUUAGAAUCACUCUAUUUGUCCAAUAACAAACUUAAAGGUAGAGUGCCACAUUGGUUGCAUGAAAUAUCGUUAUCUGAAUUGGACCUCUCUCAUAACCUAUUGACACAAUCAUUGCACCAAUUCUCGUGGAACCAACAACUCGGUUCCCUUGAUCUUAGUUUUAACUCAAUCACUGGUGACUUCUCUUCCUCAAUUUGCAAUGCAAGUGCAAUUGAGAUUCUCAACUUGUCUCACAACAAGUUGACAGGAACCAUUCCACAAUGCCUUGCAAACUCAUCAUCCCUUCUAGUUUUGGAUCUACAACUGAACAAGCUUCAUGGCACUUUGCCAAGUAUCUUUUCAAAGGACUGUCAGCUCAGAACUCUGGAUCUCAAUGGCAACCAAUUAUUAGAAGGUCUUUUGCCAGAAUCUAUAUCCAAUUGCAUUCAUCUGGAGGUUUUAGAUCUUGGAAACAAUCAAAUAAAGGAUGUGUUUCCCCAUUGGCUUCAAACUCUACCAGAAUUGAAAGUAUUGGUUUUGCGAGCCAACAAGUUGUACGGUCCCAUUGCCGGUUUAAAGAUCAAGGAUGGAUUCCCCAGUUUAGUCAUCUUUGAUGUCUCUUCCAACAACUUCAGCGGCCCAAUACCAAAAGCCUACAUACAAAAAUUUGAAGCGAUGAAGAACGUUGUUAUAGAUACCGAUCUGCAGUACAUGGAAAUUUCUUUUUCUUAUGGUGGAAACAAGUACAGUGAUUCUGUGACUAUAACAACAAAAGCAAUUACUAUGACAAUGGAUAGAAUUCGAAAUGACUUUGUAAGCAUUGAUUUAUCGCAAAACGGAUUUGAAGGAGAGAUUCCAAAUGCCAUUGGAGAGCUUCAUUCACUCAGAGGACUCAACCUUUCCCAUAACAGACUUAUUGGUCCUAUUCCCCAAUCCAUGGGAAAUUUGACAAACUUAGAAUCAUUGGAUCUCUCCUCAAAUAUGCUCACUGGUCGGAUACCUACAGAAUUAACCAAUUUGAACUUUCUUGAAGUGCUAAAUCUUUCCAAUAACCAUCUUGCGGGAGAAAUACCUCGAGGACAACAGUUCAAUACUUUUUCCAAUGAUUCCUACAAGGGAAACUUGGGGUUAUGUGGACUCCCAUUGACAACAGAAUGCAGCAAGGGCCCUGAACAACAUUCUCCACCUUCAACUACCUUGAGGAGAGAAGCAGGAUUUGGAUUUGGUUGGAAACCAGUGGCUAUAGGAUAUGGAUGUGGAGUGGUCUUUGGAGUGGGAAUGGGAUGUUGUGUAUUGUUAAUAGGAAAGCCUCAAUGGCUUGUGAGAAUGGUUGGAGGUAAACUCAAUAAAAAGGUGAAAAGGAAGACAAGGAUGAGAUCUAAUGAAAAUGGUAGCAGAAUGAAUUAGUUGAUAUAUGGCAUGACUGGAGAAUGUCUUGUUACAUACCUGCCAUCUUUGAAAACAAAACUUAAGGGCAAGAACUUGAUCACACUGCAUUGCAUGGGAGAUCUGGUUCAAAGUUUUGCUGUAAUAUGAAUGUGUUGUACUUUUGCUUUUUUGUGUGUUCUUCUUCGUUUGUUGUGUAGAAGAGUGCGAUGUAUUGAGUUGCAGUUUUGAUUUAUUUAAUACGUAUAACUGUGGCAUUAAUUGGUUGUAUAAUAAUAGAUGUUGUAUAUUUUUAAAAAUGCUAUGUAUUGGCCAAUGCUAAAAUAUCUUGUAUCUUAAUUCAAGAGCUGAAUUCACGGUUUUAGCUUCCAUUGUAGUUUAUUUAAUUAAUUUUCUAACUAUUUAAGCACCGUGACAUGGCUUUAGAAGCUGAGGUCGUCCAGGGCGUAAGUAUAAGAGCACAAACAAUGCAUACUAAAGGAAGGCUAUGGGUAUAGCCUAGGCCUCAUGGUCCGUAGGAUAUCACAUAUUUAUUUUUUAUUAAGUAAUUUUUCCCAAAUUAGAAUAAUUGUUUGGUGAAAAUUUUUCAAAAUUUGAAAUAAAAGUAGCAGUACUAAAAUCAGUUAUAAUUAAAUAUAAACUUUUUCUUUUUCAAUUACUAUUACGAUAAAUUGGUAGUGGUACGUGCUGUAAAUAUUACAUCUACUUAUAAUGUCAGCACCCAAAAAUUAUUUUUAUAAUGUAAAAUUUACAUUGUCAUUAAUUUGCUUUAUUAAUUUUUAUUAUAACUAUUUAAAAUUUAUAUUAUCAUCAUAAAAUCUGAAAAAUCGUAUCUAUAAUUUUUAAUAAGCGUAAAAUUUUGUAAUUUUUAUAAACUUUAGUAAAUAUUAAAAAAUAUAUAAUAUAAUGCUAGUAUUUUUCAAAAAAAUCAACAUUGUCCUUAAAUAAACCAGUGUGCUGUACAAUAAUUCACUUUUAUCAUUCAAAAGAAAAAUUAAAACUGUAAUUCAAAAUAAAAUAAGCAUGAGUGACUUUUAUAAUAAUGACCUUAAUGAUUAAAUAUAUUUAAUUUUAACAAAUACUUAAUUUAUUAAUAAUAUAUUUAAUUUUAACAACAUUCUAAAAAUAAGAUAAUAUCUUUUUUUAUGAAAAUAAUAUCUUAAAGAUUUGAGGAUAUAAAUUUGAAUUAUUUCUGAAUAAAAUCUUGGAUAUGCAAUUAAAUACUUGAAGAAAGAAUUGUAUCAUCCAUAAUAAUCAUAUUGAUUCAAACAAGAUUAUCUUCAAUGAAAUAUACCUAUUGUCAUGAUGAAAAACAUAAGAUGUAAGAUAUAUCUAACAAAAAGCAAAGUUAGACUUAUGUAGAUCAACCAACUAAUCCCUAUACCCACUCAUCACCUGAGCUCAGCCAAAACUCGCUUAAGCCCCAACUGUGCAUGGCUUAAGCUCUUAGCCAACACCACUUAUGCUACAUAAAAACAUGUUAGUUUGCUCAUUUGUUCUUUUCUUGCAGGAAAUCUCUCCAAGUUUGGGCUCACAUUCGUGAUUUGGCUCCUUUCCGCAGACGUUUCACUUCUUUACAGCGCAUUACUGACUCUUUAAUUAGGGGCAGAUCUACAUCAGAUGUUCAAGGAAAAUUACCCUAUAGCAAUUACAGUCUACUGCAUCAGGCUGUUUAGGAACAAGCUGAUUUUUGAAGAUUAUCAAUUUUCUGUACUAUAAGUUAUUAGCAAGAUUAAAUUUCUUAUGUAUCGACGAGCGCAUCUGUUGCAUUUGUUUUAUCAUCUUGAUAUAGGUCUUCUUGUAUUAGGAAGACUUUUGAUUUUUAACUGUCGGGUAUGCCCCGUUUAUUAUUGUAUCGUUUUGGGUUUAAUAUCAUUUACAUUUUCUCCAAAACAUGUUAGUUUUUGUGCCCAUUCUACCUUAAGCGCUACGCAAUUAAUACCACUUAAGCUACUUCAAACUAAUUUGCUCAAAUUAAAAAGAGUAGAUAUGCUACAUUAAAGAGUUUUAUUCCAUUCAAUAUCCCUUCAGAAAGUGAUUUCGCAUUGAAUGUUCCUUCUUUCUAAAAGUGAUCUCUCUCAAAGUGAUCUUUAAAACAAUGUAGAAUUUAUAAAAAAAAAAAAAAAAUUGCGUGUAAUGUGUUCCUUCUUUAACUAAGGGAUCUUUGAACAAUUUAAAAUUUUAUAAACAUUUACUAAUUCUUUUUCUGUCGAUCACCAUAGGCUUAGUAUUAGAAUUUCAAAUUUUAGAUGUGAAAGGACGAAAACUGCAAUGUGAAAAGUGAAAGUUGUUACGUGGAAGUAUAUAUAGUAAAAUGAAAAGAAAAAUCGGAAAGAACAAACUCCGUGUGAACAUCACUAAUUAAAGUUAAAGUUGGACUAAAUUAAAAGAACCAAUAAAAACAAAAGUAAGAUCACUAAUUAAAGUUAAAGUUAAACUAUUAAAAAGAACCAAUAGAAACAAAAGUAAGAGAAAUAAAAGUCAACAACAGCCUAGGUACCUCUCCAAAUACUUGCAAGCUUAAUAAAAUAAUGAAAAUCUAAUAAAAAAAAUGGAGGAAAUAGCCAACACACCUUCUAUAUAUGACCAUGCAUUGUUACAUCUCUACCACAAAAUAUGAAUAUCUAAUCUUAUUGGAAACGAUAUUAAUAAAUGAAAAGAUAAACAUCUCUUUUUAAACCUUAUACAUCAUUCACAUAAUUAUUUCAUGUAUCAUGUUUAACAUUUUUUAAUUUCAAUUUAUAUUUUCUUCUUCGUAAAUAUAAAGCCAUGUACACCCAUUAACAAAGUUCAUCUUGUUUACAGCUUCCUUUAAAAAAAACUGUUGUUUACAACUUAUUCUCCACAUUAAUUAUCUUAAUCUUUUUUUUCAAACAAAGCUCAAUCAAUUUUUCAUAUAAAAAUUAAUUCUAACUUUUAAUUUUAUUCUCAAUAUCAAACAAUCACAUCAAACACUUUAUAAUCAUCCACCAUAUUCCAACAAUAUCCAACUCCUAAAUUGUGACAGAUAUAAGUUUUCUAACUUACAAAUAUUUUAAUUUCUAAGUUAAAUUUGAAAAAUAUUAAUUUAAAAAUAACUUGUUUAAAUAAUAUAAUUGUGAAAAAUAUGUUAAUUUUAUACAUACGCUUUCAACAACUAUCUUAGAAUUAUGUAUUCUUUUUAAUUUAAUAUAACAUUUCUUUUUAAAUAUUUCUAACAUCUUGAAAUUAUAUCAUAUACAAUUAUAUUUUACAAAUAAUUUUAUAAAUGAUAUAAUUUUGAUAAAUGCAUUUUUUAUGUAUAAUUUCAACAAAUAUGUUAUUAUUUAAUUUUUUAUAGCUUAAGGUAAUAUUUAUAUUUUAAAUGUUUUUUCUUCGAAUUAUAUAUAUCAUAAACAAUUAUUUCUAGCGUUAUUUCAAAAUAAAUUUUGGGGAGCAAUUCCAUAAAGUAAGACAAAGGUUUUAGCUUGACAAUUGAAAAAAAUGCAUAAAAAAAGGGAUAUCCUGUGAAGUUCAAGACAAUACAAUUGAAAUGACAAUACUGAAGUGUGAGCACAACCUCGGUAGCAUGUUAUGAGAGGGUUAGAAAAUGAAAUAACAUUACUGAGGAUGAAACUACAAAACUCCAUUGUUUUUAAAACUCAUAAAUCCUUAUAGCUGAAUAGGGUUAAACAAAUUCAUCAAAAUCUCUAUCAUUCUUUUAUAGUAUCAAAUUUAAAUUAUUGUCCUAUUUUUAAGAUAACAAAUUAUUACUGUAAAAAAAGAUUAUAAAUUAUUAAAGAUAAAUUCAUAUAUAUAUAUAUAUAUAUAUAUAUAUAUAUAUAUAUAUAAUUAUAACCAAAUAACUAAAAUUAUUUUUUAUUAACAAAUCUUAUGAAAAAAAAUUAAUUCAAUGAGCUAGCUCACAAGCUAUUUCUGUCCGGCACACCCUAUUUCUUCAUUUGAAACAUUUUUUGUUUGAAUGGUUUAAAUUUAAAUAUGUUUUAAUUCUUGCUAAAAAAUUUAAUUUUGAUUUUUGUCCCUUUUCAAUUAUUGUUAACUUUUUGUCCUUAAUAAUUUUUUUUUUACUUUGGAUUUGUUUACAUAGGACUUUAGAAAAUGAAAUAAAAUUAUUUUUAAAGUUAUCUGAGAAAAAACAGAAAUAUUAUUAGAAACCAAAAAGUUAACAGAAAUUUAUCACAAAUAACAAAAACAAAAUUUAAAGAUUUAUCAAGAACUAAAAAUAUAUUUAAAACGGUUGUAACACAAAAGGAGAUGAAAAAUCAAUCAUUAUGCUAUUCUCCUUGAACAAGAGUUAUAAUUUCCAUCUAAUACUUCUUUUGGAUAUUGAAAUUAUUCGAUGAAACAACUUUAAAUUAAAUUUCAUAGAGCAACUCAGUCCAUACAAUGGAUUGUGUUUUACCUUGACAGUUGAAAAAAUGCAUUAAAAAGAAGGAUUUUCCGUGAAGGUUCAAGACAUUACAUGCAUGCUUAAUUUUAAAUGAUGAUGAUAUAUAUAGUAUAAGGUUAUUUGUUAUUUAUUUGAUGAGUUAACUUAAUAUUUAAUUCCAUCCACUCCACUACUUGCUAAAACUGACCACCCUCUUCCGAUUGACUCAAGGUUUACAAAAUUCGCUCCGUCAUGUUGUUCCAUUCCUAGAUGGUAUUUUAAAGGGAAAAAAUGGUUAAAUAAGGAUAUGACGUAUAAAAAUCAAAUAAAUCGAUCGUGUUUGCAGAAAAAAUGAGUUCCAAAGUCAAGUCAAUUUAAAUUGCAAUUGGGACAACAUUGAUAGUGUGAAAGGGUUAUAAAAUGUAUGUGUCAAUCUGCGUGAGGGAUGGGCUGUUAAGUGUUAAAGCUUAAUUUAGCCACAAAUUUUGCAUAUAGUGUUUUUAUUUUGCCUAUAAAUAUUAAUCUUUGGUUCGUGAUUCCUUGAUCUUUCAUGUAUAUUUUCUCUUAUAGUAAGGGCACGUAAACAGUUUUGGGUAGAAUAUGGAAUCAUGGAUGUGGUGUUUCCUUCUCUGUUCCCAUUUGCUCAUCCUUUAUUUUUCACCCUCUCAUUCCUUAUGCCACCCCCAUGACAGCUUUGCCUUGCUGCAGUUCAAAAACUCCUUCACUAUUAAUACUAGUUAUGACCAUUAUGAAUAUCCUUAUUAUUAUCAUAAAUGUGAUACUGGUUAUUCAAAAACGACAACAUGGGAAAUUGGAGGAGAUUGUUGCUCUUGGGCUGGAGUCACCUGCCACCCCAUCUCAGGCCACGUCACUCAGCUCGACCUCAGCUGCAGUGGCCUUGUCGGUAAUAUUCAUUCAAACAGUACGCUUUUCCAUCUUUCUCAUCUUCACUCACUCAACCUUGCUUUCAAUCAUUUUAAUCAUUCUCAUUUGUCAUCUCUCUUUGGUGGGUUUGUGAGCCUCACUCAUCUCAACUUGUCUUCUUCUGACUUUGAAGGGGAUAUUCCUUCCCAAAUCUCUCACCUUUCCAAAUUAGUCUCACUUGAUCUCUCAUAUAAUAUGUUAAAGUGGAAGGAAGACACUUGGAAGAGAUUGCUCCAAAAUGCAACAGUUUUAAGGGUGCUUCUUUUGGACGAAACAGAUAUGUCUUCCACUUCAAUCAGGACACUCAAUAUGUCUUCCUCUUUGGUUACUCUUAGUUUGAGAUGGACUUGGCUAAGAGGAAAGUUGACCGAUGGCAUUCUCUGUUUACCAAAUCUACAGCACCUAGAUCUUGCAUAUAAUUGGGACAUUCAAGGCCAGCUUCCAAAAGUGAGUUGCAGCACAGCUUCUCUUGGUUUCUUAGAUCUUUCAGGUUGUGGUUUGCAAGGGUCAAUCCCUCCCUCUUUCUCCAACCUCACACUUCUCACUUCCCUGGACCUCUCAAGUAACCACCUCAACGGUUCAAUCCCAUCCUCACUCUUAAUCCUUCCACGGCUAACCUUUCUGAAUCUAAACAAUAACCAACUCAGUGGUCAAAUCCCAGAUGUCUUUCAUCAGUCAAACAACUUUCACGAAUUGGAUUUGAGUAAUAACAAAAUAGAGGCUGAGCUGCCAUCAACGCUUUCAAAUCUUCAACAUCUCAUUCUCUUGGAUCUUUCACAUAAUAAAUUUAUUGGUCAAAUCCCAGAUGUGUUUGCCAGGCUAAACAAAUUGAAUACUCUCUAUCUUGGGGGAAACAAUUUUGGAGGACAAAUCCCAUCUUCAUUGUUUGGCUUAACUCAACUUUCUGAGUUGGAUUGUUCUAAUAAUAAAUUGGAGGGCCCUCUGCCUAACAAUAUCACAGGGUUUUCAAGCUUAACAUGGUUAAGGUUAUAUGGCAACUUACUGAAUGGGACAAUUCCAUCUUGGUGUUUAUCUUUGCCAUCUUUGACGACUUUAGAUCUAUCGGGAAACCAGUUCACAGGGCUGCCAGUGCAUCUAAGUACAAUCUCAUCAUAUUCCUUGGGGAUUCUAUAUUUGUCCUACAAUAAGCUGCAGGGAAACAUUCCAGAAUCAAUUUUCAGCCUUGUAAACCUUACUCUCUUAGAUCUAUCAUCAAAUAAUUUCAGUGGGUCUGUCCACUUUCGACUUUUCUCCAAGCUUCAAAUUUUGGAAAACCUUGACCUUUCACAGAAUGAUCAAUUAUCACUAAAUUUCAAAUCCAAUGUCAAUUAUAGUUUCUCCAGCUUAAGGAGUUUGGACUUAUCUUCUAUGGAUUUAACUGAAUUUCCGAAAUUAUCUGGAAAAGUCCCAAAUUUAAUGUUUAUCUAUUUGUCCAACAACAAACUUAAAGGUAGAGUGCCAAAUUGGUUGAAUGAAACGAGGUCGUGGUUACAUGAAUUGGACCUCUCUCAUAACCUAUUGACACAAUCAUGGGACCAAUUCUCAUGGAACCAACGACUCAAUUACCUUGAUCUUAGUUUUAACUCAAUCACUGGUGGCUUCUCUUCCUCAAUUUGCAAUUCAGAUGCUCAACUUGUCUCACAACAGGUUGACUGGAACCAUUCCACAAUGCCUUGCUAACUCAUCAUCCCUUCAAGUUUUGGAUCUACAACUGAACAAGCUUCAUGGCACUUUACCAAGCACCUUUCCAAAGGACUGUGGGCUCAGAACUCUGGAUCUCAAUGGCAACCAAUUAUUAGAAGGCUUUUUGCCAGAAUCUUUGUCCAAUUGCAUUGAUCUGGAGGUUUUAGAUCUUGGAAACAAUCAAAUAAAGGAUGUGUUUCCCCAUUGGCUUCAAACUCUACAAUAUUUGGAAGUAUUGGUUUUGAGAGCCAACAAGUUGUACGGUCCCAUUGCCUGUUUAAAGACCAAACACGGAUUCCCCAGUUUAGUCAUUUUUUAUGUCUCUUCCAACAACUUCAGCGGCCCAAUACCAAAAGCCUACAUUAAAAAAUUUGAAGCCAUGAAGAACGUUGUUCUAGAUGCCUAUAGCCAAUACAUGGAAGUAUAUAUUCAUUUGGGAUUAAAAUUAUAAUUAAAAAUUAUCUAAAAGAUUAAAUUUAUUAUAAUUUUAAAUUGUUCACAACAUAUAAAUAUUUACACUUGUUAAAUUAUUCUAUAAUUUCUCUUAAAUUAUUUUAAUGAAAAGCAAUAGUAAAAUAGUAGGAGCUUAAUCUAAGUUAUGCUAAGUAAAUAUUAGGUAAAAUUGGUAAGAGUGUGAGAAACAUAAUUAUUUAUCACUAUCAUCUCAUAAUGAGAAAAAUACAUCAUUAAAAAAAUACAAAAGAUAAUAAAUUUGUUUAAUAUGGUAGUGACAUUUUAUUCACACCGGAUAUAUUUUAUGGACAACCUAGACAAACUUACAAACAUUUCCUCCUAAUCAUUCUCCUCUCUUUAUUAGGGUAGUGACAUUUCCUUCACACUAGAUGCGGUGAUUCUUUUCAUCUCAAAAAACCUACAAACAUUGCCUCCUAACAAUUCCCCUCUUGUAUUCUUGUUCUACAAGACACUUCUAAGGUGUUCUUAGAGUAUAAAAUUAGGGUCUAACUCAACCCCAAAAACUAACUCAUAGGAUGAGAGUUGUCCUCAUCUUAUAUACUCUAUCUUGACACUAUCUCUAGUCAAUGUGGGACUUGAGUUUUUUUUCAAUUCUUAAAAGUCCUCCUCCUACCAGUAAAAUAAUAACAAACCUAAACAUUCAAAAUUAUGUUAAUUAAUAAAUUUCAUCGCUGUAUAUAUUUUAUAUAAAAAAAUUAAUUAACCUAUAUAUAUAAUUUUUUAAAGAAAAUAUGAGUGGGAAACCAUUAUUGUUUCAUUUGAUACUGCCAUGUUAAUCAAUCAUGUCUAAUAAAUAAUUUCUCCGAUUUCUAUUAAAAAAUUUAUUUCAUAUUUAUUAAAAGAUUAAUUAAUUUUAUUAAAUUGUAUUAAUCUCAAAAUAAAUUUUUUUUUUCUUUAUGAAAAAGUUAAAUUAAUAGAGGAUGGGAUUGGAUUUUGGAAAUAAAGGGCUUACAUACAAGUACCUAGCUAGGUACAGUUUAGUUUGUGGCCUUAAACUGAUCUGUUUUGGUUCUACCUUUCCUCUUGUGCAAUUAAAAAUUCUUCUAGCAUCCAUUCACAAGUUUUUUAUUCAAUAGUAUUUGACGUUGUUGAGAGUCUUUUUGUACUCUAGAAUUAACUAUGCCAUUGACAAUGGAUAAUUCUGUCAAGCAUGCUAUAUUGUUAAGAAAAAUACUUUUCUCCUUGUAAUUUGUUCAAUUUUACAAAUAUACGUAUAUCAAAUUUUGAUGGUGGUCUCAUUAUUUUGCCUCUAUUCCUUAUCUGCUUCCCUCACUUGGAAAAGUAAAAUGGUAUCAACAUAUUUUUUAUUGUAUUUUUAUAUUCUUUUGAAAUAAAUUUACUUUAGAGGAGUGUUUGGACCAGAUACCAUACAAACCAAUUAAAAAAUUUAAAUGCACGGUGUCUUUUUUAAUUUUGAUUUUGUGGCAUUUUUCCUCUAGAUUUGAUUGGUAUUUUUGAAACAUGUUGGCGAUUAGCUGACUUGUAAAGUCAACGAACCCUAGUGUGAAAAAAUAAUACGGUGAAGACAGUUUUUCAACAACUAAUUGUAUCAGCGAGAGUUUCCUUUAAUCUUCUUUUGAUGUGAUUAGAGUGUCUAAUUUUCUAACCCAUAUUUUAAAGGUUGGAAGACUCAGAAAACAACUGUUUGGUUCAACUAAAUUGGUUUAUACAUGUUUUGUUUUCUGAAUGAUAUGUAGCAUGCUUUCUGCGGUAGAAAACUAAGUCAGUCAAUCACAUGAGACAAAAAAUGAAAUAGUCCAAUAUAUGGCUUCAAGUUGUUGGUCUUUGUAUAUGUAUAGAUUGUUUUCCUUUGGAUCACCUCCAUUAUUAUUAUUUUCAUCAUCACCGUUAUAAUACCUUGCUACAUUAAACAUUAUUCAUAGUAAAAAAAAUUGUUUUAAUUAUCUUCAAAAGAAUUCAUGAUCAAACAAAAUAUUUAAUAAACUUAUUUAAAAAUGAUGGAUUGGUAAAAGCGAUGUAAAAGUAUAAAUUAUUAUAUAGAGAAUUAUCUUCCAAUUGGGGGGCGGGACCUAGGAUUUAUCUAGACAUAGCUUUCCAACUCUUAACAACUAAAACUUCUAGACACAAGCUCGAUUAGAAAAUCAACAGUACAUACACCUCAACUCAUGACAAAAACUCUUAUAUUCCAUAGAUAAACUUAAAUUUCUCAAUUUAGGUAAGAUUUAAUCAAAUUCAUGACUCAAUUCAAUUAUAUUUUAAUGGAUUAAUUUGGGUCAACUGCCGUAACAAUUUUUUUUUAAAACCUAAUAUUUUGUAGAAAUUAAAUUUUUUAUUAAAUAAAUUAAAUAUAAUUGUUUCUUAUUAUAUUUUAUUGAAAAGAAAUUUUUUAAUGUUACGGCACCUUAUUCCACUAACUCCUAUUUAUUCAAGGGAAUUGGGAAAUUAAACAUAUCAUAUGACAAGCUCUUUUUAAGGUGUAGCUUUAUUGGAAGAUCUUAUAAAUAGGAGAAAAAGUAAACUAUGCUGGAAAAAAAUGUUAAGCAAUGAAGUAGAAAUUAAAGAAAAACAAAAAGAAAUAUUGAAUAAAAUUGUAUUGUUUAUAAUUUUUUACGUUAUCUUAUUGUUUCUGCUUUCUGCAAUACUUUUUAUUUAAUGUCCCAAGAGUACUAGUAGUUAACAAGACACUUCUUGUAAAUAAGAAGUCAUAUAAUAGAGAACUAGAAUAAGUUGAAUUUGGAUAAUAAUUUGAGUAUUCUCUUCAUUGUGAGAGUUGUUCUUCUUUAAUAACUUUGAUUCUAUUAACAUAUUGCGGUUAUGAUCAAAUUCUACUUGUUCAUCUUGCAUGAAUUUAACAUGAUCCUAUAAAUCGAUUCGUAUUAUUGUUUAUCAGACAAUAUAAUUAAUUGUUAGUACAGUGACCUGUGAGCACAUCUAUUUGUAUACAUACGGUAUAGAUAAACUAUUGGUUUUCUCAAUUUGAGCACAAAUCUCUUAAUAUAAUUUUUGUUCAUUUCUAAUAUUUUACAAAAAUAUUGAUGUAACCGUCUUGCCAUCUCUAUUUUAAAUUUGGCAAUAACAAAUUAAACUAAAAUAAAAUCAAAUUUCAAAUUUGGGAAUAACACAUUAUCUAAUAGUGACCUCCAAAUCAAUUUCGAUGGCAAUGUUGUAACAACCUUAAUAACUUCUUUGACAUAUCUGCGUUCCUUCUUUGCAUAAAUUGACUUCCAAGUCAAUGCAAAACAAAAGACACUGUAACAACGUUUUGCAUGGGUAGAAAAUGGGAAACUGUGUGUCAGAACUCUUUUGCUAAAGAAACCUCUACUCGCCCAUAACACGCUUUCUAUCCCUCUCAUUCUCUCCAUAGAUGAUAUUUGCUUUGUCUUUUACUAAUAAAUAAGUAAAUUAUAAUCACCCCAUUAACAAAUUAAUUUUUUUAGUAAUCCAUUAACAAACUCAUUUGCAGGAUUUCUUUGGCUAAUUUAUGCGAUUAUGAUUUCAAAACUUUUUGGGAUACAAAUACCGAUUAUGCAUGUAAGUUCUAAAAGAUAAAAACUAUAUAACUCUAUUACUAUAAUAAAGGUUCAUUCUUUUUUAAUUGACAAAUUAUUUAGUUUAUUAAUUUAAUUUAUUCAGUGCUAUUUAAUUUCAGUCAGCUAGCUACUUGCUAAAAUUGAUUAUCCGCCUUCACUCAAGUCUGAAGGUUUACAAAUUACAAAAUGCAUUUUAAAGAGAAAAAUUAAAACGAUAAAAUAGAAAUAUGAAGUAGAAAAAUAAAAUAAAUCAUGUUUGCAAAGAAUUCCAAAUUAAUUCAAAUGAAAAUACUGGGCACGACCGAGAAAUAACGUAAUGAAAGGGUUGGGAAAUGAAUGUUGGUUUACGUGUGAGAUGGGUUGUUGAAGUGUAUGCUCCUUGGGUGUUAACAAAAUUAAUUUUAAAUGUAAUUGAUUUUAUAAAAUUGAUUUUGAAGUGAUUUAUGUUGGUAUGUUUUAUUAUAAAAUUACUGGAAGUGACAAAGAUGAGACCGAUACCGAAGGGUGAAGACCAAAGAUGGCCAUAUGCACUACUUAGUAUAAUGGUUGGUGUAAUAGCAACUUCCACGAAUAUGUGCAAUUGUGCAUGUUUGGUUUUAAGAUUAAAAUGUAUUUUUGAAAUAAAAAUAAUUUUAUUAAAGGAUCAAAAAUCUUAUUUUUUUUUCUUUGAUUUUAUUUUUAUUCAUUAAAUUUUUAGUAUAAUAUGCAAAACAUUUCUAACUUAAUUAACCGAAACAAGAGCCUCUAGGCUCUAGAAUCUCAUUUUUCUGCCUUCAAAAUAGACGGUUCCAUUCCAAUAGUUAUAAAUUAUGAAGAGUACUUCUAUGAUGUGAUGUUUUCUUUUUAUUGUAAUAUUAAUGUAAAUUAUCUGUGAGUUUAAACCACAAUUAAUUUUUAAUGAUAAUAAAUUUAACUGAUUAUUUUUAAUAUAAUUUUUUAAAAACUGUUUUCGUUCUCUAAAUUUAAACUUAGGAACUUAAUUACAAAAUUCGAACAUAAUGUCAUUCAAAUUAAUGAUUCAUAUCUGAGAAGAAUAAAAAUAACAACUAGUUGUUCGGUAAUUUGCACUCUUACGAUGGUGGGUUAUUAUUGUACAAAUUUCUGAAACCAAUUAAUAGAAACUCGGGCUUAACCAUAUGUGCCGGUCAAUAUAUAACAUCCAUUUAUUUAAUUGAUUAAGAAAUCAUUGACAUAAACACGAUAUGGCUAGGAACCUUCAAUAUGCAUGACGCAAUGUAUGACAGGGAUCUUAUAGUAUUAUUGACCAUAAUCCUCUUGUUCGGACGCGGAAAGAAAAUUAUAUGAAAAAUAAGAAUAAAAGAAACCCUAUUCAUGAGUCAUGAGGAAAAUAUUUUUCUAAUGCAAAUACAAAUGUUUUCUUUUAACUUUUUUAAUGUAUUUCUCAUGUACACGUCCGCCAGUAAUUGUAGGUGUCAAAAUUUAUGUAUAUCUUGAAAUAUUUCCAUGGACAUCAAUCUUUUUUUUUUCCUUUUCUUUAUUUACCAAUAAUAUUAUAUCCCUCGCAAUGGUUGUUUUCCAAUUAAAAGAAAAUUCAAAUAAAUAGAGCAAUUUCUAGUAAGACUUUUUUUGAAAAAAAAAUUCAAAAACUACAUGUAUCAUCUAUUAAUUACAAAUAAUUCUCAUCAAAUUAAAUAAGAUUAUUAUGAACUAUAAAUUUUUUUUCCUUGAAAGUUUUAAUGUUGUUGCAUACUAAGACUCAAAUUCAAUAUCAUGAGUAAAUUAGAAUAACUUCAUGUUGUUCGGUGGUUUAGAAAAGCUUUGAUGGACAAGUGAUUCCUAUUUAUACAUCUUGUUUUAUUUUAUGUCAUAAAUUUAAAUAGGAGGAACUAGCUAAUAUAAAACAAAAAAAUAAGAAUAAAAAAAUGUGUUCAAUCGCCUCUAUGAGCACUUUAAUCUUUUGCACAACAUUGAUAAAUAUGCUGUUGUAAACCUAGAAUAAGAUAUGCUUGAUGCAUGACUUGCUAGAUUCAAUCUCAUGCAUCACCAUUCACAUUAUAUGAUUGGUCACUACUCCCCAAGCCGAUGUUACUUCUUCAAUUGUAGUGGUCACGCUGGGUUCUGUUUCUAUUCCUGCGAUUAUUUCAGUUAAAGUGCUACCUAGGUUCUUCUAUUUCCCGGAUGUUGUUUCUUCUAGGGGGUUCCAGCCAUCUAUUAUAUUUGGCAAGUGUGUUAUGCCUUGGGAGCGCUAACUCUGUUAAAUGUUGCAUGCACCUCUUUGUGCUAUUUCAAUGAUAUUCUUUUGGCUGUUUCAGAAAAAAAAUAAAAAUAACAAGGAAGAAAGUUUAUUUCUGCAUUUGCAUUGCAUUGAUCCUCUAAUUAAUUAGGUUUCUCAAAAUCUAUGCAUGUAUAACACUCCCAUAUAUAUUGUGAGGGAAAUAAAAUAAAAAAGAAAGUUGAAAUUAAGAAAAGACUACAAUAUUAGCUCGUUCUCGAUCUCUCCAUACAUAUAUAAUAUUCUCGUUUAGUCACAAGUCACACGCACAACACUAUACUACUUAGACUCUACAAAUCAAAAUCUGAUAUCUCAGUCUCAGCUUAUAUAAAUAUGAUACUUAGACUUGAAGAACAUCCAAAGCUGUCAAGCCAUACAGAACGAUACAAAAUUACAAUAAAUUAAGUAUAAUUGAAUAUACACACCUAGUGCCUUUGGAUCUUGGAAUUCUACUACCUAUGUGACAUCAGUUACAGUGUAAGAAUCCAUUUGGAGGUCUAAGUUCACAUUAAUUUAUAAACGUACGUUUCAAUUUUUUAUAUUAAAAUUUUUAAUCAUUUAAAAUUAAAUAUUUUUUAAUUAUAAAUUAUUAGCAGGCAGGGAUAUACUCCCGUGUUGUCAAUGUUGGGCAGAACUCACACACACAUAAAAUAAGAUUUCAUUUUUUUCAAUUAUGUAGACGUUUCUUUCAACCGUAGUUUGUUUACUCUUGAAUUUCGAGAAGAAAAAUGCACACCUUUUCCUACUCCUAAAUACUUUUAUAAAGAGAGAAUUGGCCACUUUACGCGUAAUGGGUCAUAAUUCAUACGAACUUUGGUUCGUUAAAUCUAAUAAUUAUUCUUAGACUUUGUUAGUCAUAUUGCUUCAGUCAUAGAAAAUUAGGUUUCAGUGGUCUUUUCCUCAAAGAUUGAUGAAUAAUAAUACACUUAUGAUUAAUUUGAUUGGUUUUUUCCUCCCAAAUACUUCUUUGUAAUAAUACAUACACAACCUUUCAUAAUUAAGGGAAGAUGAUUCAUACAGAAACUUAUUGAAUUUCCUUGUAUCUAUUAUUUAAUUAUUAACUUACAUAUUCAUUUGUCAAAGAAGAGGGAUCCGCGAAAAGGAAAGAUACAAAUAAUCAAAUAAAACGACAAAUGUUUCUUAUGAGUGUAGACAAGUUAUGCUAUUCUCAAUCUGUUAAUUUACAACUACGUAAGUAAAUUUAACAUUAUAUUUUAAUUCAAAAUUUUAAAAUUCAUGUUUAUGAGUUUUGUUUCUCACUUAUAUGAUAUUUAAUUUUUCUACUUUUACUCAAUGUGAAAUUUCAUCAUACUUAUACUCCAACAAUGUGAAAUACUUGAUUUGAACUACUAUAAGAUUUGAGAAAGGAUUCACACAAAUCGUAACAAUAAUUCCCUUUUAAAGAGUUUGAUAAUUACUUAAGUUUUGUGAGAACGCAGGAAGAAUUAAUCUUAGUCGUAUGGAAUGUAUGGUAGGUAAGAAAUGAUGAAAAAAUAGGAGAAGAGGGAGAAGAAAUAACAGAGUUUUUUGAAAAAUAAAAAUAGCAGGGUUGUUUGGUUGUAAAAAAUACGUGAAAAGGAAAUUGUUGAAAAGGUUGAUGUCCACACAUUUUUAUUUCCUCACAAAAGUGAGCCAAAAUAACAGUGGGUGGAUUAUAUGUUAAUAUUUUGUGGUGGUUUAAAAUUAUACUAAAGUAUGAAUUUAUUAAUUACUUUGAUACUUUGAUGACUGUUAUUUUUCUAGUGGUUAGAAAUUAUAAAAAAAAAACAUUUAGUGACUUUUUUUUGUCACAAACAUUUUAAUUAUUUUUUUAAACAAAAAAAUUAAAAGUGAUUGAAAUGCAAAUUUAACAAAUUAAAAAGCUAUUUUAAUCUAUUAAAAUACAAAUUUUGAUAGAUUAUAAGUAAUUUUUUUCUCUUUCUUAUUUCUUUUAAAUCAAAUGCUUUUUUUUUAAAUCCAAUAUAUUUUUGAUCUAUUUUUAUUCAUUUAUUUAUCUCUUCCCUAUUUUCAUCUAUCAUGCUUCUCAACUAUUUCAUUAUUUCUUAUCAAUCACACCGCUAAUUAAUUAAAUCUAAUUUCAAUCAUUUAUCUUAAAUGUAUAGCCAAGAAUUAUUGGUCUCAUCUCUGAGCUAGACACAUCACACACAUUAAGUAUAUAAAAUAUCAUAUGCUAGUUGUUAACUCAAUGAUAAUUGCACUUUUCAGGUAAAGUCUUCGAAAGGUCUAAGUGUUAAAUCCAUAAGAACUUUAUUUAUACUUAUAUUAAUACAAACUUAUUUUAUAAGUAAAGAGAUAAAAAAUUUAAAAUAACACAUCAAGAAAGAUAGGAGAUAAGAUAAGGAUUUAAAAGAGAAGAUAAAAGAUUUAAAGAUAAAAAUAGAAAAGAUAAAAGAUGAUAAAGAUAAAAAAAUAGAAAAUAAGAUUAAAAAAAAGAUAAGAUAAGAAAAGUAAAAGAUGAGAAAAAUAAAAGAUAAAGAUGAAGAUAAAGAAAAAUAAAUUCAGAAUAUGAUAAUGUUGAAACCUAACCUGCCUUAUUUACCCAAGAUAUAUUAUUUUAGAUUUUCUCUAUCAAUUUGUUAAUUUUUUUUCCUAUCCACGUCUAUUAGAAUAUUUUCCGCUAAUGUCUCACGAUGACAAACUUAUCUUACCAAUUUAUGUCCCAAAUGUGUUUGCAAAGACUCAAUAGAUAAAAUGGAUGAAGUUUUAAUUCUAUAUGUUUUCUUUGAUGCAUUAACACAAUACAAUCACUCUAUGUCUAGCAAUGAUUCCUUUCUUUUAGUUCUAUUAGAAAUUAUCAUCUAUCAAGUGACUACUCCCUAAAACGAAUACAUGUAAGAUCUUUUUUGUAUUUCUAUUAAGGAUUAUUCUCUGUUGAACACUUAACCCUUAAAAAUGAUGUAAUAAUAAAUUAUACAUGAAAUUAAAAUAAGAAAGGAUAAUAGGAAAGAAAACAUUUGUUUGCAAUGAUAAAUAUGAAACAUACAAUACAUCUUUUUACUUUUUUUUAGGUCAGUCAGGUCCUAACUAAGAGUUUAAUUUCUCAUAAACAUAAAGAGUCUUACACUUAAAAAGGGAUAUAGAAACAGGUUUAGAAGAAGUGAUGAAAAAAGGACAUAAAAAAAAAAGAUUUCCCCUAGAGAUAUCAUAUGAUGUAUUCAUUAAAGAUCUCUAAGUGUCAGGGUUGCUAUCUUCCCUCCUUGGUUUGAUUCCCUUUUUAGUGUUGGUGUGGAUUUGGACCCGAUGCCAAAAAGUCUUCCUCAUCCAUAUUUUUUUUUAUAUUUUCUAGAUCGUUUUCGCUUUUAAUUUCUCAUUUUCAUAUCUACGAAUCAUAAAUAAGAAAAGUAUCAAUUCUUAACAUUUAAACCAAAAAUAACUACUAAAUAAACUUUAUUUUUGUAGUUGUUGGUGUGGAUUUGGGCAUAAUGCCAAAAAUAUUUCUUAUCUAUAUUUUUGAUAUUUUCUAGAUCUAUUUCGUUUUUAAUCUCUCCUCAUAUAUGCAUACCAUAAAUCAGAAAAAUAUUAAUUUUUAACAUUUAAGACAAAAAUAACAGCUAAAUAAAUAUUUUAAAGAUAUUUUCAAUAUAUUUUUAUGAUAAAAAAUAAUUCAUAUUUAAUGGUUACCAGUAAUUAAUUAUGUAUUUACUUUAAUUUGAAGUAAUAUACAAAGUUUAUGUCACCCAUGAUAAGCUUGAAAGCUAUUUUAGUAUAAUAAUUAAGAUAGUUGUAGUUGCAAUUAUAGAUAAGAUUUAAUUUUAACGCAUUGUUAGUAUAACUUUUUAUUACACAUUCAUCUUAUCAUUUGCAAAUCAAUCAUGAAAUUUGAAUCGAGCAGUAUAUUUCAUUACAUAAUUUCAUAAUAGGGUGAAAAACUUAUUUGACAAUGCAUUUUUUUUUCAGAUCACAUACGUACAGGUAUCUUUUAUGACAAAUAAUAUAACUAAUGGGUGACAGAUUUUUUUGAAAUAUUAAUCAAAGUCGAGACCACUCUUAUUAUGCUAGAACACCUCGCGCCAUUUCAUUCAUAUGUUCCGUUGUGACACUCCAUCAAGUUUAAAUUACAAUGUAUCACUCUAGGUUUAAUUUAUUUUAUAUUUUCAAAGAUUGGAUUCUUUAAGGGCAUUAUUAUGAAAAAAAAUUAUAACAUUUUUUUAUAAUUAUGAGAUAGGAAGAGAAGAGAGAAAAAUAAGAUAAGUAAUUAUAUAAAAAAGAAAAAAUAGGUUUAGUUCUAUUUUUUAAUUCUUAAAAUUUAAGGUAGACCUAGUGCCAUACAGAACGAUACAAAAUUACAAUAAAUUAAGUAUAAUUGCAUAUACACAACUAGUGCCUUUGGAUCUUGGAAUUCUACUACCUAUGUGACAUCAGUUACAGUGUAAGAAUCCAUUUGGAGGUCUAAGUUCACAUUAAUUUAUAAACGUUUCAAUUUUUAUAUUAAAAUUUUUAAUCAUUUAAAAUUAAAUAUUUUUUAAUUAUAAAUUAUUAGCAGGCAGGGAUAUAUUCCCGUGUUGUCAAUGUUGGGCAGAACUCACACACAUAAAAUAAGAUUUCAUUUUUUUCAAUUAUGUAGACGUUUCUUUCAACCUUACUCUUGAAUUUCGAGAAGAAAAAUGGACACCUUUUCCUACUCCUAAAUGCUUUUAUAAAGAGAGAAUUGACAACUUUACGCGUAAUAGACCAUAAUUCAUAGGAACUUUGGUUCGUUCACUACUUAAAAAAAGACCUUUUACUUCAGUUAAAAAUAAUGUUCAAUAACAAUGAAGACCCAUCUUUAAUUACGAUGUCAUUGUAGACCUCAUUCUUAUCUACGGUCGCCAAAACACCAUUUUAGAAAGCGUUGAUUUCUAAGUCAGUGCUUACAUCAGCGUUGACAUAGAAAUACGUGCUUUCUACGUCGAUUGUAGCGUAAGUACCAACUUAAAAUUCUAUUAUUUCUACGAUGAGAUUGAUGUCAUGACUGUUCUUAAAAGUUUGUUUUAAGACUUGAUUGCGAUUAGCUGAUAUAUAAAAUUAUAUGAUUUAUGAUUUUUUUUACCUUAUCUUAUUAUUUCUAUAAUACUUUUAUUUUAAUUCUUUAAUUAAUGUCCUAAGGGUACAGUUAACAAGACACUUCUUAUUCUUAUAAAUAAAAAGUCAUGUAAUAGAGAACUAAAAUAAGUUGAAUUUGGAUAAUAAUUUGAGUAUUCUCAACAUUGUGAGAGUUCUUUUUCUUUAAUAACUUCGAUUCUAUUAACCUAUUGCCGUUAGGAUCAAAUUUUACUUGUUCAUUUUGCAUGAAUUUAACAUGAUCCUAUAAGUCGAUUCAUAUUAUUGUUUAUAAGACAAUAUAGUUAAUUGUUACAGUAGUUUCCUGUGAGCACAUCUAUUUGUACAUAUAGUUAAUUGUUAACAAAGAUUAUAUUAGGAGAUUUGUGCUCAAAUUGAGCACAAAUCACCUAAUAUAAUCUUUGUUCAUUUCUAAUAUUUUACAAAAAUAUUGAUGUAACCGUAUUGCCAUCUCUAUUUCCGUUAAAUAUUGAAUAUCAAAUUAACUUGUUUGACAUAUCUGCAUUCCUUCUUUGCAUAAAUUGACUUCCAAGUCAAUGCAAAACAAAAGACACUACAUGCUGCAACGUUUUGCGUGGGGUAGAAAAUGGGAAACUUUUUGGGAUACAAAUACCAAUUAUAUAUGUAAGUUCUAAAAGAUAGAAAAUAUAUAACUCUAUUACUAUAAUAAAGAUGCAUUCUUUUUUAAUUGACAAAUUAAUUUAUUCAAUGCUAUUUAAUUUCAGUCAACUACUUGCUAAAACUAAUUAUCCGCCUUCAUGAAGUCUGAAGGUUUACAAACUACAAAAUGCAUUUUAAAGAGAAAAAUUAAAAUGAUAAAAUAGAUAUAUGAAGUAGAAAAAUCAAAUAAAUCGUGUUUACAAAUGUAAUGAAAAGGGUUAAAAAAUAAAUGUUGGUUUGCGUGAGGGAUAGAUUGUUGAAGUGUAAGCUGGCUUGGGUGUUAACAAAAUUAAUUUUAAAUGUAAUUAAUUUUGGAGUGACGUGAUUUAUGUUUUUAUACAAUUAAAUUAAGAAUAAAAUUUAUUAUUAAAUUUUAGAUCUAAUACAGAAAAUAUUUAAAGAUGUUUCAACUUAGAAUCAAUUAUGACAUUAGAAUCAAUUUUACAUUUUUUUAAAUGUGAAAUCAAACAUAUAAAAAUAUAUUUAAAAUUAAUUAUGAAUUCAAAAUCAAUUUUCCAACCUUGAAUCCAACGUGCAAGAAGUCUCAAAACUGUUGAUUAAGGAUAAGUUUUUUUUUUCAAAUUUAUCAUUUGGAGAUAAAAUUUAAGUUGAUAUUCCAAAAGGGAUAGAUUAUAAUAAGUGAUGCAACUUCUAAAUUAAAAGUGGUGACAUAAGUUAUGACUUCUUUUAUUUUUUACAUUAAAGUCGUAAGAAAAUUUAUGGCCUUCAUUUUUAUUAUUUUAAAUAUAAUUUUAAAGUGGUAAAAUUUGUUUUACAUAGACUUUAAAGUCAUAAACUUCUUUUUAUUAAAAUCGUAAAUUAUUUUAUGACUUCAAUUUAUUUUGCACCUAACGUAUUUUUUAAAAUCAUAAAUAAUUUUUUAUUUGUUAUUUAAUAAAUUAAUGUUUUUUAGUUUUAUUUAAUAUUUGCAUAUGAUUUUAUUUAAUAUUUUUGUAUUUUUUUAUUUUAUUUUAUUUAAUAUAUUUAAUAAUUUUUAAUGAUGUUAAGAAUUAUUAUUUAUUUUUUAAAUUAAAAAAUAAUAAAAAAUACCUAAUUUUAAAUAUAAAAAAAUCAAAAUGUACUACAUAUUUCUACUACAUAGAAAAUACCUAGGUAAGUGGGCACCGGUUACUAUUUGUCAUUUUAUUUGUAUGUGUUAUUCGUUACUUAUUGCUAAAGCUUAUCAUCCUCAUCCGAUUCACUCAAGGUGUACAAAAUGCUCUCUGUAAUGUGAUUUCACUUAUAGUUGGUAUUCUAAAUGAAAUAAAAUAAAGAUAUAAAGUAGGAAAAUCAAAUAAAUCAUGUUUGCCGAAAAUGUGUUCCGAGUGAAUUAAUUAGAAUGGCGUGAUGAGAGGAUUGGAAAAUGAAUGUUGGUUUUUGAGUGAUGGAUGGGUUGUUGAAGUCUCCAAGCUGCUGGGACCGCUGCCAAUGCUUAAUUUUGCAUAUAGUGUUUUUAAUUUGACUAUAAAUAUUAAUGUUUGGUUCCUUAGUAUUUCAUGUAUAUUUUCUCUUAUAGUAAAGAGUAUUUGAGUAGAAUAAUAUGGAAUCAUGGAUGUGGUGUUUCCUUCUCUGUUCCCAUUUGCUCAUCCUUUAUUUUUCACCCUCUCAUUCCUUAUGCCACCCCCAUGACACCUCUGCCUUGCUCCACUUCAAAAACUCCUCCAUUAUUGAUGAAGAUCCUUAUUAUUAUUCAAAGACGAGAACAUGGGAAAAUGGGACAGAUUGUUGCUCUUGGGCUGGAGUCACCUGCCACCCCAUCUCUGGUCACGUCACUGAGCUCGACCUCAGCUGCAGUGGCAUUGUCGGUUAUAUCGAUCCAAACAGUACGCUUUUCCAUCUUUCUCAUCUUCACUCACUCAACCUUGCUUUCAAUUAUUUUGAUGAAUCUCCAUUGUCAUCUCUCUUUGGUGGGUUUGUGAGUCUCACGCAUCUCAACUUGUCUAAUUCUGAAUUUGAAGGGGAUAUUCCUUCCCAAAUCUCUCACCUUUUCAAAUUAGUCUCACUUGAUCUCUCAUAUAAUUUUUUAAAGUUGAAGGAAGACACUUGGAAGAGAUUGCUCCAAAAUGCAACAGUUUUAAGGGUGCUUCUUUUGAAUGAUGGAACAGAUAUGUCUUCCGUUUCAAUCAGGACACUCAAUAUGUCUUCCUCUUUGGUUACUCUUAGUUUGGGAUGGACAUGGCUAAGAGGAAACUUGACAGAUGGCAUUCUCUGUUUACCAAAUCUUCAGCACUUGGAUCUUUCAUUUAAUCCGGCCCUUAACGGUCAGCUUCCAGAAGUGAGUUAUAGAACAACUUCUCUUGAUUUCUUAGAUCUUUCACAUUGUGGUUUCCAAGGGUCAAUCCCUCCAUCUUUCUCCAACCUCACACAUCUCACUUCCUUGUAUCUCUCUCAUAACAAACUCAACGGUUCAAUCCCCCCCUCUUUCUCUAACCUCACACAUCUUACUUCCCUAUAUCUCUCACAUAACGACCUCAACGGUUCAAUCCCUCCCUCUUUCUCUAAUCUCACACAUCUUACUUCCCUGUAUCUCUCACAUAACGACCUCAAUGGUUCAAUCCCUCCCUCUUUCUCUAACCUCACACAUCUUACUUCCAUGGAUCUCUCAUACAACAGCCUCAACGGUUCAGUCCCAUCCUCACUCUUAACCCUUCCACGACUAACCUUUCUGAAUCUAGACAAUAACCACCUCAGUGGUCAAAUCCCAAACGCCUUUCCUCAGUCAAACAACUUUCACGAAUUGCAUUUGAGUUAUAACAAAAUAGAGGGUGAGCUGCCAUCAACAUUUUCAAAUCUUCAACAUCUCAUUCACCUGGAUCUUUCACAUAAUAAAUUUAUUGGUCAAAUCCCAGAUGUGUUUGCCAGGCUAAACAAAUUGAAUACUCUCAAUCUUGAGGGAAACAAUUUUGGAGGCCCGAUCCCAUCUUCGUUAUUUGGCUCAACUCAACUUUCUGAGUUGGAUUGUUCUAAUAACAAAUUGGAGGGCCCUCUGCCUAACAAUAUCACAGGGUUUUCAAGCCUAACAUCGUUAAUGUUAUAUGGCAACUUACUGAAUGGGGCAAUGCCUUCUUGGUGUUUAUCUUUGCCAUCUUUGACGACUUUGAAUCUAUCAGGAAACCAGUUCACAGGGCUGCCAGGGCAUAUAAGUACAAUCUCAUCAUAUUCCUUGGAGAGAUUGUCUUUAUCCCACAACAAGUUACAGGGAAACAUUCCAGAAUCAAUUUUCAGACUUGUAAACCUUACUGACUUAGAUCUAUCAUCAAAUAAUUUCAGUGGAUCUGUCCACUUUCCACUUUUCUCCAAGCUUCAAAAUUUGAAAAACCUUGACCUUUCACAGAAUAAUCAGUUAUUACUUAAUUUCAAAUCCAAUGUCAAGUAUAAUUUCUCCCGCCUUUUAUGGAGAUUGGACUUAUCUUCUAUGGAUUUAACUGAAUUUCCAAAAUUAUCAGGAAAAAUCCCAUUUUUGGAAUCACUCCAUUUGUCCAACAACAAACUUAAAGGUAGAGUGCCAAAUUGGUUGCAUGAAGCGAGCUCAUGGUUAUCUGAAUUGGACCUCUCUCAUAACCAACUGAUGCAAUCAUUGGACCAAUUCUCGUGGAACCAACAACUCCGUUACCUUGAUCUUAGUUUUAACUCAAUCACUGGUGGCUUCUCUUCCUCAAUUUGCAAUGCAAGUGCAAUUCAGAUUCUCAACUUGUCUCACAACAAGUUGACAGGAACCAUUCCACAAUGCCUUGCUAACUCAUCAUCGCUUCAAGUUUUGGAUCUACAACUCAACAAGCUUCAUGGCACUUUGCCAAGUACCUUUGCAAAGGACUGUCGGCUCAGAACUCUGGAUCUCAAUGGCAACCAAUUAUUAGAAGGUUUUUUGCCAGAAUCUUUGUCCAAUUGCAAUGAUCUGGAGGUUUUAGAUCUUGGAAACAAUCAAAUAAAGGAUGUGUUUCCCCAUUGGCUUCAAACUCUACCAGAAUUGAAAGUAUUGGUUUUGAGAGCCAACAAGUUGUACGGUCCCAUUGAGGGUUCAAAGACCAAGCAUGGAUUCCCCAGUUUAGUCAUUUUUGAUGUCUCUUCCAACAACUUCAGCGGCCCGAUACCAAAUGCCUACAUAAAAAAUUUUCAAGCCAUGAAGAAAAUUGUUGUUCUAGACACCGAUCGGCAAUACAUGAAAGUUCCUUCAAAUGUUUCUGAGUACGCUGAUUCUGUGACUAUAACAUCAAAAGCAAUUACUAUGACAAUGGAUAGAAUUCGAAAGGACUUUGUAAGCAUUGAUUUAUCGCAAAACAGAUUUGAAGGAAAGAUUCCAAGUGUCAUUGGGGAACUUCAUUCACUCAGAGGGCUCAACCUUUCCCAUAACAGACUUAGAGGUCCUAUUCCCAAUUCCAUGGGAAAUUUAACAAAUUUAGAAUCAUUGGAUCUCUCCUCAAAUAUGCUUACUGGUCGGAUACCUACAGGAUUAACCAAUUUGAACUUUCUUGAAGUCCUAAAUCUUUCCAAUAACCAUUUUGUGGGAGAAAUACCUCAAGGAAAA